ACAGAUUGAUGUUGUAUGUUGCAAAAGACAAUACAUACUGCUAAAUUAACCAACCAUUCUUCUGUGACAGACUUCUUGGCGAAUCUCUUUCUGUUGAUUUGUCAUCUAUAAUUUCUACAUCACCUAUCAAGACAUCCAGGGAAUCUAUUUUACUAUCUAAAAAUUGUAGUGACACACUUUACUUACUGUUGUUGUCUGGUUGUGUUUUACUUGCAGUUGAAGUCAGUUUCCAAGAGCUGUACAUUCAAGGUUCAAAGUUCAAGGUUUAGUGUUCAUGCAGGGUUUAUGUACCUCAGGGUGAGCAUUGUACCUGUAUAGCAUAUUGCUGAUCUACAAGAAUUUGGUAAAAGACUACUCAGAUUGUUUAUACAAGGUGGUGAAACAUUAAACGAUGAAACAAGCACCAGGGAAAGGAGUCUCAUGACAUAACUCCUCUUGAUGCAAUUUCCAGUGUGUUAAUCAAAAGCCUACAUCAAUCCUGAUAGAAGAUAAAUGAGAAUGUAGGCGAGAAGAGUCCUGCUACGGGUGACUAGUUGUAUCUGAUGGUUGGCACUACCAAUAUGUUACUUGAUGUUCUUGUCAAUCUUCAUGGCAGUAUCUGCAUACAAUUACCAAAUACUUUUGUCUAUAUACUCUCAGUCAUGAUUGAAGGUCACCAUCGCCAUUCAUUCUAAUCAUAGAAUAUAUGAAAUUCUGUCAUUUACAACUAAAACAGCUGUACUACAUGGUGCACCUUCCACAACAGCUACUAGGGUA